GCUGGGCGUGGUGGUGAAUGCCUGUAAUCCCAGCAACUUGGAGGCUGAGGCAGGAGGAUUGUGAGUUCAAAGCCAGCCUCAG
rnacentral:sRNA from 1 species